rnacentral:rRNA from 1 species
GCUGGCAGCUAGCUCUCUACGUGGUCGCCCACUGAAGCUAAGCAGGGCUGUGCCCGGUCAGUACCUGGAUGGGAGACCACAUGGGAAAGCUAGGUUGCUGCCGGAA